UAAAUUUUAGUUUAAAAAAAAAUUUAAUAUUUACAAUAUUAAGAUAUUAAUAAAAUAAAUUUAA
rnacentral:tRNA from 1 species